AUUGAACGCUGGCGGCAUGCCUUACACAUGCAAGUCGAACGGCAGCACGGGUGCUUGCACCUGGUGGCGAGUGGCGAACGGGUGAGUAAUACAUCGGAACGUACCUUAUCGUGGGGGGUAACGCAGCGAAAGCUGUGCUAAUACCGCAUACGCCCUGAGGGGGAAAGCGGGGGAUCGCAAGGCCUCGCGCGAUUAGAGCGGCCGAUGCCUGAUUAGCUAGUUGGUGGGGUAAAAGCCCACCAAGGCGACGAUCAGUAGCUGGUCUGAGAGGACGAUCAGCCACACUGGGACUGAGACACGGCCCAGACUCCUACGGGAGGCAGCAGUGGGGAAUUUUGGACACUGGGGGCAACCCUGAUCCAGCAAUGCCGCGUGAGUGAAGAAGGCCUUCGGGUUGUAAAGCUCUUUUGUCAGGGAAGAAACACCGGCUCUAACACAGUCCGGGAAUGACGGUACCUGAAGAAUAAGCACCGGCUAACUACGUGCCAGCCGCCGCCGUAA
rnacentral:rRNA from 1 species